rnacentral:rRNA from 1 species
AUUGAACGCUGGCGGCAGGCCUAACACAUGCAAGUCGAGCGGAGCGGCGGACGGGUGAGUAAUGCCUAGGAAUCUGCCUGGUAGUGGGGGAUAACGUCCGGCAACGGGCGCUAAUACCGCAUACUAUCAGAUGAGCCUAGGUCGGAUUAGCUAGUUGGUGGGGUAAAGGCCGACCAAGGCGACGAUCCGUAACUGGUCUGAGAGGAUGAUCAGUCACAAGGGAAGUGAGACAGGGUCCAGACUCCUAAGGGAGGCAGCAGUGGGGAAUAGUGGACAAUGGGCGAAAGCAUGAUCCAGCCAUGCCGAGUGUGUGAAGAAGGUCUUGGGAUUGUAAAGAACUUUAAGGGGGGAGGCGGUACCAACAGAAGAAGCACCGGCUAACUUCGUGCCAGCAGCCGCGGUAAUAC